rnacentral:lncRNA from 1 species
GCCCCUGUUAAUUAUGAUAACACAUUUUUCUUAGUAGUACGAUGAUGGUAGUGGGGGUGGGGACGGGCAACAGAAUGUCGGGCGGGCGUGUUUUGUUUUAUCCAGCCUGAUGUAGUACCUUUCCUGUUUCAUUCAGAUCCAGGCUAUAGAUUAGGGCCUUGUUUACUUCCACACAAAAACGCAAAAAUUUUCAAGAUUUCCCGUCACAUCGGAUCUUUAAACAUAUGCAUGAAGUAUUAAAUGUAGAUGAAAAUAAAAACUAAUUACAUAGUUUGGUCGAAAUUAACAAGACGAAUCUUUUGAGUCUAGUUAGUCUAUGGUUGGACAAUAAUUACCACAAAUAAACGAAAGUGCUACAGUAUCGUCGCGAAAUAUUUCUCAUCAGGAACUAAACGCGGCCUAGUAGUGCUGUGUCAGUGUGCGAUGAGAGGUACAAAUGUGGAAAUAGUUAUGCAACGUUCUCC